GCGAUUCUGGAACCAGAUCUUCACCUGGGUCUCAUUGAGCUGUAGGGAAGCCGCAAUCUCCACCCUGCGCGCUCGUGUGAGGGGCCAUAAGGCGCACUGAAGUUCUGCGCGCCAUAGUUUGGACCACAACUCGAGUGGGAAUAAGAAACCCCAAGGUUUCCAGAAGUCUGGACCAGAGAAGAAAAAUGAUAUGAAUGUACAGUGCGCAAGAGGCGGGGCGGGCAGGCGGAGGGCUCGCGGGGAAGGACACGUGACUCUGCCAGCCAAUGGCUGAGCCGCCUGCGAAAGUUUACCGGCUGCGGCCGUGAUGGAUCACCGUUUCAGUGGCAUUUAAAUCCCCGGCGCUCCUCAGUGUAGGUGACGCGCGCUCGCCCCCCCAGGCAGCCCGGGCCGCGGCAGUAGCUGCGGCC
ensembl:antisense Hotairm1 Hoxa transcript antisense RNA, myeloid-specific 1